rnacentral:lncRNA from 1 species
GCUUGCCAUCUCAAAUCUCAGCUGAUACCUACUUGUACUCAUCACCUCCUCCUCCCAAGAAGCCCUAUUAUUAUCACUCUCCUCCACCACCUUCACCUCCUCCACCUAAGCCAUACUACUAUCAUUCACCACCACCACCUUCACCUCCUCCACCCAAGCCAUACUACUAUCACUCACCACCACCACCUUCACCUCCUCCACCUAAACCAUACUACUAUCACUCACCACCACCACCUUCACCUCCUCCACCUAAACCAUACUACUAUCACUCACCACCACCACCUUCACCUCCUCCACCUAAACCAUACUACUAUCACUCACCACCACCACCUUCACCUCCUCCACCUAAGUCAUAUUACUAUCACUCACCACCACCACCACCCAAAAAGAAGCCAUACUACUACCAUUCUCCCCCACCACCUUCACCACCUCCUCCUAAGCCAUACUACUAUCACUCUCCCCCACCGCCUUCACCUCCUCCACCUACGCCAUACUACUAUCAUUCUCCCCCACCACCCUCACCACCUCCACCUAAGCCAUACUACUACCAUUCACCACCACCCCCACCGAAGAAGAAGCCUUACUACUACCACUCUCCACCACCACCUUCACCUCCUCCUCCAAAGAAGCCAUACUACUACCACUCCCCACCUCCUCCCAAGAAGCCCUACAAAUAUUCAUCUCCCCCACCUCCAGUGCACCCUUACCCUCAUCCUCACCCCCAUCCCCAUCCACACCCCCACCCUCACCCUCCCUACGUUUACAAAUCUCCUCCCCCACCCCCUAAGAAGCCAUACAAGUACCCAUCCCCACCACCUCCAGUCCACGUUUACC